rnacentral:misc_RNA from 1 species
GAGGCUGCUCAGAAAGACCUAAGAAAAAGAGGAAUAGUUCUUGCAUCAAAGAAAUCUUCUCGAACUGCUGCUGAAGGGUUGCUUGCCUUGGCACAGAAUGAAAGGAAGGCAGCUGUGAUUGAACUAAACUGUGAAACAGACUUUGUUGCAAGGAAUGAAAUUUUUCAAUACUUGGCCUUAUCAUUGGCGAAAUUGGCAUUGCUGCUUGAGGGCUCACAACAGUCUUUUGCUGCUUUUCCUAUUGGACAUCUGGAGGAGUUGAAGCUGAACCUUGAUCACCCUAAAUUGAGUGGAGAAAAAAGUGUUCAAAAUGCAAUAACUGAAGUAGCUGCAAUGAUGGGGGAGAAUGUCAAACUAAGAAGGGGAUUUGCAAUGUCUGCUCCAUCUCUUGGUGUGAUAUCAACGUAUCUACAUACAAGCCCUCAACCAGGUGUUGGACGUAUUGCCGGAAUUUUAUCACUUGAAGUAGAAGAUAAGAAUGUCUCAGAAGAUGCACUUCAGCGUGUUGGAUCAGAAUUAGCUAUGCAUGUAGUUGCUGCAAAGCCAUUGUUCUUAACAAAAGAAGAUGUUUCCUCUGAUGCGCUAAGCAAUGAACGCGAGAUUCUCAAAUCUCAGGCAGAGAGUUCUGGGAAGCCUCAGAUUGCUGUAGAAAAAAUGGUUGAAGGUCGUUUGCGCAAGUAUUUUGAGGAAGUGGUUUUGAUGGAGCAGAAAUUUAUUGUGAAUGACACAAUGAAUGUGAAGACAUUGUUAAGCAAUCUGUCCAAGGAUGUUGGUUCACCAGUUAAGAUAGGAAGCUUUCUAAGAAUGGAAGUUGGCGAAGGACUUCAGCGGCUUGAAGCAUCAAAUGAAAGUGAACCUUUGGCUAAUGCUGCUUGAUGAACAAUUUAUGUCAGGAUCGUGAGAGAACUACCUAAGACACUGUACUUUAGGCCUCUACUUUCUAGUUUUUGAUCUUCUGAUUGUAGUCUUCAUGGUGGCACUUCUGAACGUGAUUCCAUACGCUAGCUAAACUGAAGAGGUUUUGUAUUACAUUUUGAAUCAUAGCCAGUAAUGUAAGAGAAUAAGGUCUUCAUUGCUCUAGUGUUUUGGUCUAGUGGUAAGAGAGCAACACUUGAUGGUGGAUUAGUUGCAUGUCAUGGGUUCGACAAAGCAUGAUAUUAAGUUUAGAAGAGUGGAGAGGGGCAGUAUCCACCGAGUUCCAAACUGCACGCCACUAGCCAUUUUGGAUUUCUUGGUCAUCAAAAAGAAAGGAAAUAGAAUAAGGUCUUCACCGAGUUAAUUUUGUUUGGUUGGUCAGACAGAUUAUUCUUCCAUGAUUGUUUAUUUAUAAUGUCAAAUGAUGUCCUUGUUUUGUCUGUAUUGUUUAGCGACUUCUUUUUCCCCUAUGAUGGAAUACCUGUCAGAUUUGGACACAACUGAGGAUAGUAGACUGAUA